rnacentral:ncRNA from 2 species
GGAUGUGAGGGCGAUCUGGCUGCGACAUCUGUCACCCCAUUGAUCGCCAGGGUUGAUUCGGCUGAUCUGGCUGGCUAGGCGGGUGUCCCCUUCCUCCCUCACUGCUCCAUGUGCGUCUCUCCCGAAGCUGCGCGCUCGGUCGAAGAGGACGACCAUCCCCGAUAGAGGAGGACCGUUCUUCGGUCAAGGGUAUACGAGUAGCUGCGCUCCCCUGCUAGAACCUCCAAACAAGCUCUCAAGUAAUAUUCUUCCUUCAUUAGUUAAACAUGUCCACCAUUGAAAGGCUCUAAGGAAUAAACUCAACUUGGCUUAGAGUAAAUGAUUUUUUGUUCAAGU